UACGAAUGGGGCGAGCGUUGUUCGGAAUUACUGGGCGUAAAGCGCAUGUAGGCGGACUUGUUAGUCAGGGGUGAAAUCCCGGGGCUCAACCCCGGAAUUGCUUUUGAUACUGCAAGUCUAGAAUCCGGAAGAGGUGAGUGGAAUUCCUAGUGUAGAGGUGAAAUUCGUAGAUAUUAGGAAGAAUACCAGUGGCGAAGGCGGCUCACUGGUCCGGUACUGACGCUGAGGUGCGAAAGCGUGGGGAGCAAACAGG
rnacentral:rRNA from 1 species